rnacentral:rRNA from 1 species
AUUGAACGCUGGCGGCAGGCCUAACACAUGCAAGUCGAGCGGAUGAAGGGAGCUUGCUCCUGGAUUCAGCGGCGGACGGGUGAGUAAUGCCUAGGAAUCUGCCUGGUAGUGGGGGAUAACGUCCGGAAACGGGCGCUAAUACCGCAUACGUCCUGAGGGAGAAAGUGGGGGAUCUUCGGACCUCACGCUAUCAGAUGAGCCUAGGUCGGAUUAGCUAGUUGGUGGGGUAAAGGCCUACCAAGGCGACGAUCCGUAACUGGUCUGAGAGGAUGAACAGUCACACUGGAACUGAGACACGGUCCAGACUCCUACGGGAGGCAGCAGUGGGGAAUAUUGGACAAAGGGCGAAAGCCUGAUCCAGCCAUGCCGCGUGUGUGAAGAAGGUCUUCGGAUUGUAAAGCACUUUAAGUUGGGAGGAAGGGCAGUAAGUUAAUACCUUGCUGUUUUGACGUUACCAACAGAAUAAGCACCGGCUAACUUCGUG